AGUCACCAAGCCAGGCCAAUACCUAAGUCUUCGGAGCCAAUGGGAGCCCGGGGUCAGUGGAGGGAGCCAGGCACGGAGAGGCCAUUGGUCAGAGUUUUCCCGGAGCGAAGCCAAUUAGAGCGAGAACGGAGGAAUCCGGCAGCCAAUGGGUGGCGCCUCCGGGGGCGGGAGCAGAGAGACAAGGAAAUGCUGUCACCGCCGUUAACACGCACGUGGAGGUUUGUUAAAGGAAGACCUGAUUUUAAGCCCUGCCUCCAUCAGUCUCAAGACCUGGGACAUCAAAGAAGGGAGAGGAGGCACUGCGGAGGAUGUGGCACCUGAGCGGGUAUCACCUCAGUCCUGCACCAUUAAGACUCAGCCAUCAAGGGCUGCAAGGACAGCUGGUCCUGUCUCCACUGGACUGUCCCCUCCAGCCAUCAUAAAGUCUAGGAGAACAGUGAGACUAUACUAAAACUGUAUAGAGUAGCAGUCACCAAGCUGUGCCAUCUAAUGGAGCCCUCUCUGGUGGGCACUGCUGACUCUCCCUAGCUAGACUGUACGGUGGGUGGGGGAGCCCCCAGCUAAUCCUGUAGCUCUGACCCAGGCUUCUUGCUCACUCCUGCUGUAGCCAGAUGCCAAGCCAGCCUGGGAGAGAAGCAUCACUGGGCUAGAAUCCCUGGCAAGGAGGACACACCCACUCCAUGCAAAAGUCUUGAGUGCUUUCUACUCAGCCUUCACCACAAAGGUGCAAUGGCUCGUGUGUCAACAUAUGGGUAAUUGCUUUAAAUGAAUUUACAGUUUUACACAUGACAAGAUGCAUGAUCCCACAGGUAUCACCGAGACUAGGACAGCUAAUAACUGAAUAUAAUGAGAAGAAUGAAAAUAUAAUAAAUCCCAUUUUUGCUUAAAUGUACAUAUAUUUCUACAUAUGAAUAUAGCAGGAUAAAGUCUUAAAAAAAAAA